rnacentral:rRNA from 1 species
UACGGAGGAUGCGAGCGUUAUCCGGAUUUAUUGGGUUUAAAGGGUGCGUAGGCGGAUCGUUAAGUCAGUGGUCAAAUUGAGGGGCUCAACCCCUUCCCGCCAUUGAAACUGGCGAUCUUGAGUGGAAGAGAAGUAUGCGGAAUGCGUGGUGUAGCGGUGAAAUGCAUAGAUAUCACGCAGAACCCCGAUUGCGAAGGCAGCAUGCCGGCUUCCUACUGACGCAGAAGCACGAAAGCGUGGGGAUCGAACAGG